rnacentral:sRNA from 1 species
GACAGGACUGGGCAAUUCUCAAACAUAGCUCUCCAGCCGGUGUGAGCACAGCCGACGCUUGAAUGAUACGAUGUGAACGAGGCUGAGGCGUUGCCAUCUUCUCGAUGCAUGGGGAUGUCAACAGCACAGGGACAUGCAACUUGCGCCUGUUAACGCGUGCUGAGUACCACGUUGGCCACGCCUUUCUUUAUAUCUGAGCCAUGCGUGGUGCAGCAUUGCGAGGGAUUCAUCGGAGGACUCAAGGCACAAACAGCUGCCAGUCAGUCUAGAAUUCAGGGACUGAGGCCAGUGUUGAGGUCAUCUGUAUGCCGUAGCUACGCCUUACAAUAAAUAUUGCCUGGUUGAUCGAUUCUAGAACUUCCGUCUCGAAAUCCAC